GAUGAACGCUAGCGGCAGGCUUAACACAUGCAAGUCGAGGGGUAGGGCAGCAAUGCCUGAGACCGGCGCACGGGUGCGUAACGCGUAUGCAAUCUACCUUUUACAGAGGGAUAGCCCAGAGAAAUUUGGAUUAAUACCUCAUAGCAUAACGACCUGGCAUCAGGAUGUUAUUAAAGUCACAACGGUAAAAGAUGAGCAUGCGUCCCAUUAGCUUGUUGGAAGGUAACGGCUUACCAAGGCUACGAUGGGUAGGGGUCCUGAGAGGGAGAUCCCCCACACUGGUACUGAGACACGGACCAGACUCCUACGGGAGGCAGCAGUGAGGAAUAUUGGACAAUGGGCGCAAGCCUGAUCCAGCCAUGCCGCGUGCAGGAUGAAGCAUCUA
rnacentral:rRNA from 1 species